rnacentral:rRNA from 1 species
CCUACGGGGGGCAGCAGUGGGGAAUAUUGGACAAUGGGGGCAACCCUGAUCCAGCCAUGCCGCGUGUGUGAAGAAGGCCCUCGGGUUGUAAAGCACUUUCAGUGAGGAAGAACGCCUGGUGGUUAAUACCCAUCAGGAAAGACAUCACUCACAGAAGAAGCACCGGCUAACUCCGUGCCAGCAGCCGCGGUAAUACGGAGGGUGCGAGCGUUAAUCGGAAUUACUGGGCGUAAAGCGCGCGUAGGUGGCUUGAUAAGCCGGUUGUGAAAGCCCCGGGCUCAACCUGGGAACGGCAUCCGGAACUGUCAAGCUAGAGUGCAGGAGAGGAAGGUAGAAUUCCCGGUGUAGCGGUGAAAUGCGUAGGGAUCGGGAGGAAUACCAGUGGCGAAGGCGGCCUUCUGGACUGACACUGACACUGAGGUGCGAAAGCGUGGGUAGCAAACAGGAUUAGAUACCCGAGUAGUC